UACUCUCUGUGCGAUUUCCCCCAGGGAAGA
rnacentral:piRNA from 1 species